AGUACAUGGACAACUCAUCCUGGUAACAUGUCCUGUAGACACCCAGAGUCCAGAACUGCAGAGGACCCCAGUUCUACUCAGCCAGCAGGACGCUAACCCUAACACCUGGGACCCUCCAGUGCCCAGGGCCAGGGCCUCAAGAAUUUUACCCACGAAAGUCUUAUCUGGGAUCUACAUGUAAUCCAGCCUGACAGGAUGGUACCAGGUCCCAGCAUCUCCCCAGGAACUGAUUCCACCUGCGGGUGGCCAGGGACAGGACCUUGCAGGUCAGGCAGGAGUGGGUCUACUGUUUCUGCUUCCCAGGCAGACUUGUGUGGAGCAAGACUGUUUAUAGACAACGCCUUGCUGUAGCCAGAGGUGGUGGCUUAGCAGCAGCAGGAACGCCCUCCCUCAUUGCUUCACAAGCUGUAAGUUUCUAAGAUGCGCCCUUGGCCUCAGCGGGCAGAUAAGCACCUGCACUGGAGAGGGAACCCUUGAUCGAGGGCUGAUAAGCUCAGGAAAGGAGAAAAAAAACCACCCCAAUAACAACAAGAAAAAGCCGAGC
rnacentral:lncRNA from 1 species